rnacentral:rRNA from 1 species
UGAGGUGGAGCUAAUCCCAAAAAGCUGGUCUCAGUUCGGAUCGUGGUCUGCAACUCUACCUCGGGAGGUGGGAGUCGCUAGUAAUCGCAGAUCAGCACCGCUGCGGUGAAUACGUUCCCGGGCCUUGCACACCCGCCCGAAGUCAGAAAGUUGUUCCCCGAAGCCGGGGCCGCCCCCGGGGGGGACCCUUAUGGUGACCUAGAAGAGUCGAGCUGAGACAGUGC